GGAUAUGAGGGAAAACUGGUUGUGACAUCUGUCAACACAUUGAUUUCCAGGGUUGAUGCAGAUGGUCUGAGGUGAUCCCUGGUCUCCCUCACCACCUCAUUUGUCCCCCUUCCAAAGCUACCUGCUAGUCCAAAUGAAUGACCUUCUGAAAGAAGACCAGGAAGAGUAUUUUAAAAGCUGUUUUCCCUUGUUGUAAUUUCUAUGUAUGUUCACGAUUUAUUCAGAAUACAUAAAUCUAUAGAACAAAUAUACAAACUAUUUUCUAGAAGCAGUAUA
rnacentral:snRNA from 1 species